rnacentral:rRNA from 1 species
ACGGAAGGCAGCAGUGGGGAAUAUUGGACAAUGGGCGAAAGCCUGAUCUAGCGACGCCGCGUGAACGAUGAAGUAUUUCGGUAUGUAAAGUUCUAUCAGCAGGGAAGAUAAUGACGGUACCUGACUAAGAAGCACCGGCUAAAUACGUGCCAGCAGCCGCGGUAAUACGUAUGGUGCAAGCGUUAUCCGGAUUUACUGGGUGUAAAGGGAGCGUAGGCGGCUUUGCAAGUCUGAUGUGAAAGCCCGGGGCUCAACUCCGGUAUUGCAUUGGAAACUGUAGAGCUAGAGUGUCGGAGGGGUAAGUGGAAUUCCUAGUGUAGCGGUGAAAUGCGUAGAUAUUAGGAGGAACACCAGUGGCGAAGGCGGCUUACUGGACGAUUACUGACGCUGAGGCUCGAAAGCGUGGGGAGCAAACAGGAUUAGAUACCCUGGUA